rnacentral:rRNA from 1 species
GAUGAACGCUGACAGAAUGCUUAACACAUGCAAGUCGAUGGGGAAGUGGUGCUUGCACCAUGGUAACCAUGGCGGACGGGUGAGUAACGCGUAAGGAACUUGCCUGCGGGACUGGGAUAACAGCAGGAAACUGCUGAUAAUACCGGAUAAGGUCAUGAAGCUGCAUAGCUUAGUGAUGAAAGGAGACGCCUGCGGAGAGCCUUGCGUCCUAUUAGCUAGUUGGAGGGGUAACGGCCCACCAAGGCGAAGAUAGGUAGCCGGCCUGAGAGGGUGGACGGCCACAAGGGGACUGAGAUACGGCCCUU